rnacentral:tRNA from 1 species
GAGAGAUGGCCGAGUGGUCGAAGGCGCGGCACUGGAAAUGCCGUAUACUCCAAAAGGGUAUCGAGGGUUCAAAUCCCUCUCUCUCC